rnacentral:rRNA from 1 species
CCCUACGGGGGGCAGCAGUAGGGAAUCUUCCACAAUGGGCGAAAGCCUGAUGGAGCAACGCCGCGUGGGUGAAGAAGGUCUUCGGAUCGUAAAACCCUGUUGUUAGAGAAGAAAGUGCGUGAGAGUAACUGUUCACGUUUCGACGGUAUCUAACCAGAAAGCCACGGCUAUCUACGUGCCAGCAGCCGCGGUAAUACGUAGGUGGCAAGCGUUAUCCGGAUUUAUUGGGCGUAAAGGGAACGCAGACGGGCUUUU